rnacentral:rRNA from 1 species
UACAGAGGGGGCAAGCGUUAUUCGGAAUUAUUGGGCGUAAAGGGCGCGUAGGCGGCCUGGCAAGUGGAAGGUGAAAUCCCUCGGCUUAACCGAGGAACUGCCCUCCAAACUGCUUGGCUUGAGUCCGGGAGAGGUGAGUGGAAUUCCCAGUGUAGCGGUGAAAUGCGUAGAUAUUGGGAGGAACACCAGUGGCGAAGGCGGCUCACUGGACCGGAACUGACGCUGUGGAGCGAAAGCAUGGGGAGCGAACAGG